ACCUACGGGGCGCAGCAGUGAGGAAUAUUGGUCAAUGGUCGGGAGACUGAACCAGCCAAGCCACGUGAGGGAGGAAGGUACAGAGUAUCGUAAACCUCUUUUGUCAGGGAACAAAGGCGGGGACGUGUCCCCGGAUGAGUGUACCUGAAGAAAAAGCAUCGGCUAACUCCGUGCCAGCAGCCGCGGUAAUACGGAGGAUGCGAGCGUUAUCCGGAUUUAUUGGGUUUAAAGGGUGCGCAGGCGGUCUGUUAAGUCAGCGGUCAAAGCCCGGGGCUCAACCCCGGCCCGCCGUUGAAACUGGCAGU
rnacentral:rRNA from 1 species